rnacentral:rRNA from 1 species
AGCGAACGCUGGCGGCAGGCCUAACACAUGCAAGUCGAACGAAGUCUUCGGACUUAGUGGCGGACGGGUGAGUAACACGUGGGAACGUGCCCUUUGGUACGGAACAACUCAGGGAAACUUGAGCUAAUACCGUAUGUGCCCUUCGGGGGAAAGAUUUAUCGCCAUUGGAGCGGCCCGCGUCUGAUUAGCUAGUUGGUGAGGUAAAGGCUCACCAAGGCGACGAUCAGUAGCUGGUCUGAGUGGAUGAUCAGCCACAUUGGGACUGAGACACGGCCCAAACUCCUACGGGAGGCAGCAGUGGGGAAUCUUGCGCAAUGGGCGAAAGCCUGACGCAGCCAUGCCGCGUGAAUGAUGAAGGUCUUAGGAUUGUAAAAUUCUUUCACCGGGGACGAUAAUGACGGUACCCGGACAAGAAGCCCCGGCUAACUUCGUGCCAGCCGCCGCCGUAAUAC